rnacentral:rRNA from 1 species
AUUGAACGCUGGCGGCAGGCCUCACACAUGCACGUCGAGCGAGCGGCGGACGGGUGAGUAAUGUAUGGGGACUGCCCGAUAGAGGGGGAUAACUACUGGAAACGGUGGCUACUACCGCAUACUAUCGGAUAACCCAUAGGGGAUUAGCUAGUAGGUGGGGUAAAGGAUCACCUAGGCGACGAUCGCUAGCUGGUCUGCGAGGAUGAUCAGCCGCACGUGGACUGAGACACGGCCCAGACUCCUCCGGAGGCAGCAGUGGGGAAUAUUUCACAAUGGGCGCAAGCCUGAUGCAGCCAUGCCGCGUGUAUUAAGAAGGCCUUAGGGUUGUAAAGUACUUUCAGCGGGGAGGCGUUACCCGCAGAAGAAGCACCGGCUAACUCCGUGCCAGCAGCCGCGGUAAUAC